CAUACUAUCUUUUCUUUUCUUUUGAGAGCUAUAGGAUAUGUACCUUGAGAUGAAUUUAAUUGUAGAGUUCAAGCAAUAAUAUUAUCUUAUAAGUCUUGCAUGAUCUCUGGAGCUUACCCUAGGAUUCAUGCAGCUAUAUCACAUGGUUGACUCAGAUGAUGGGUUCAAGGUGUGACACAAGGACUACUAUAGGUAGAAUACAUAGUAACAUAUAAGUUAUCAACUCUGUUUUAUAUCAUGUUUAUGAACCUAUGGGGGGGGGG
rnacentral:lncRNA from 1 species